rnacentral:rRNA from 1 species
GUCUACGGCCAUACCACCCUGAACGUACCCAAUCUCAGCUGAUCUUGGAAGCCAAGCAGGGUGGGGCCUGGUUACUACGUGGUUGGGGGACAGACACAUCCUGAUGCAGGUGAGGAAGAAU